rnacentral:misc_RNA from 1 species
GAUGAAGAACGUAGCAAAUGCGAUAAGUAAUGUGAAUUGCAGAAUUCAGUGAAUCAUCGAGUCUUUGAACGCACAUUGCGCCCCCUGGUAUUCCGGGGGGCAUGCCUGUCCGAGCGUCAUUGCUGCCCUCAAGCACGGCUUGUGUGUUGGGCCCCGUCCUCCGAUCCCGGGGGACGGGCCCGAAAGGCAGCGGCGGCACCGCGUCCGGUCCUCGAGCGUAUGGGGCUUUGUCACCCGCUCUGUAGGCCCGGCCGGCGCUUGCCGAUCAACCCAAAUUUUUAUCCAGGUUGACCUCGGAUCAGGUAGGGAUACCCGCUGAACUUAAGCAUAUCAAUAAGCGGAGGA